UUUCCAUCCGGUUGCUUUUAAUUUUGCUAUACAUACUUGCAUACAUUUCAGCUAUUCAUAUAUGUGUGUGCGUGUGUGUGUGCGUGAGUGUGCAGAUACUAACACACAUGGCCGCCUCAUCCACACACCUAAACACUAUCAAAAUGUCGGACAAGCGAACAAGCGAAAGAUGGAGUCAGAGGAAGAGGACGGGAAGAAGGGGAGGGGAGAGGCAGUCACUGAUAGGCUGGAGGUGACGGGAGGUGAGGCGGUGAUUGGCUGGGCGGAGUAGGGGUAAGAGGGUGGGGACGUGGCGGUGCGGGCUGCGGGUUCCUCACUAUAGUCUUACGUUCCCUUCCGCGCGUUAGGUCUUGUGUUUCCGUGUACUGUGAAGUGUAAUCGUGAGGGUGACUCGUGUUAACUUGUGGUGGAGUGAUGGUGUGUGAUGCGUAAGAGGAUAAUGUGUGUGGUGCGUGGUUGCGUGGCGUAGUGGUUGGUCGCUGCUGGCAUCUCUCUCCGUGGUGUGAGGUGUGUGUCUGCGGGAGAGGCGCGCCAAGGGAGGGGUGGUGUGCCGGUGUGUGGGUCUUCAAUAGUGUGGUCCCAUAGCGACAGAACGGUAAAACUACCCACACAUGGAGGCUGAGUG